GAACAGGUACGACUUCCGCUUCUCACCGAUUCAGAUGUCCUUACCUUCUUAUCCCUUCGUGUGAUUCAUUAUGAACUGGUGGUUGUUAAUCGAUUCUGAUGGCGAUUCACCUCUGUUGCAGAAACAGUGAUGAAGGCGCUGCUGCAGAAGAAUGAAGAAGCAGUUGAAGAAGACUCGUGAUGACAAUGAAGGUGAAGCAGAGAGAGCCUUCUCAAUUGCAGACCGAUGAGGAAGGAUGAAGGUGAAGCAGAGAAGAAGAUUGAAGGUUCUGUUUGGAGCGUGGAGAUGAAAAAGAAUGAUCGAAAAGUGAAUAGAAAGUGAAGAGGAAAUGAGAUUCGAGCUUUUUUGCAUCGUAAGGUUUUUCUCUGAGAUUUUGCCGGGUGUUUACAUAGUAAUUGGGUUAAGCUGAAAGUCGAUAUAGAAAACAACACCAGUUGCAUUAUGGUUCCUGGCUGUUUCAGCCGCUCGUUUGAUUGCGGAAAUGCCAAGCACAAAUCGUUUGAUUGCAUCUUGACACUCACCAACCUACAUAUCAUCAACGACUAUUAUGUCAUCAGUUUGUAGAGUUUGUUUCCAUUCGCAUCAUGUGUAAGUCCAACUCCAAGUAUGGUAAGGAUGCAAUGUAUAUUGUUAGUAUGAAUGUGAGUUUUGAUCUCUCGUUAUUGUAUGGCCAUGUUAGCUAUUGCGUGCUGAAAAUUAUUGCUUGGCUUUGUAGGAUGGUAGAUUUGGCGUUUGUGAAUUCGGUUACCAAUUGUGGAGUUUGUUUGUGUUGUUAAUUGGAGCAUAUUAAUCAAUGGUCCUGUUAAUGAGAAUUCUAUUAAUGACUAUGCACUACUAUUAUUCUGUUAGGUUAAUUUCUUCGAAAUUCCUGUUAACUGAAAAAAAGCAUUACUGUUUGUAGAUAUCUAUUAUGCUCUUAAAGAGUUAGUUAUCACCUAUGUUAACCUUAAAGUUAGUUAUGGUUAGUUUUAGAUUCAGUUAAGAUGAAGUUUUGUUAAAAUGAAAAAUGGUGACAUUUUGCCCUGUUGGUUGUUAGGAUAAUUCGAGUUAGAAUGUUAGUUAAUUAGAUCGUGAUUUAAUUAAAUGAAAUUUUGUCACAUUGAAAUUUAUGUUAUGGGCACUUAUUGACAUACUCUUUGCUGUUGUUGCAUUGUUGAUGGAUCGUGAAUGCUGCAAUUGGGUUGUCUGGUUUCCACUUGCAGCAAUUGGCGCAUGAUGUGGUCGAUUUGGACGGUUAUGAGUUGCAGUUCAAACUAAAACUUCUUUUGUUGCUGCUGCUUGUUUAUGCCUUGUGGUGUCAAUUUGCAGGUUUCAAAGUGAAUGUAUCAUGCAAGUGGACGAGUGAUCGAAACCAAGUGUUAAGCAAGAGCUUCGAAAAUGAUCGUGUUGCUGUCAACAUGGCCUAUAUGGAAUCGAUUUACGAAGUUAUUAUUACUGGAUUAGCUUUGCAGGUCAGAAAUGAGUGAAGGUGAGAUAUGGGUUAGUUAGCGAGAGUUAAUUGGAAUCGGAUUUUGGUUUGAGGAUUUGUUUGAUCAAAUUGUAGAAAUUAUAAUUGAUAUUAGUAUAGGACAUUUGUAUUAUAAAUGAGAUUAAAUAUGUAUGGAUUAUGAAAUGAAAGUUACAAUGAACAUUGGAUAUCAAAAGUUGAA